rnacentral:rRNA from 1 species
CCUACGGGGGGCAGCAGUGAGGAAUAUUGGUCAAUGGGCGCGAGCCUGAACCAGCCAAGUCGCGUGAGGGAAGACGGUCCUAUGGAUUGUAAACCUCUUUUGUCGGGGAGCAAAAGACGCCACGCGUGGCGUUCCGAGAGUACCCGAAGAAAAAGCAUCGGCUAACUCCGUGCCAGCAGCCGCGGUAAUACGGAGGGUGCAAGCGUUACUCGGAAUCACUGGGCGUAAAGAGUGCGCAGGCGGGCUUGUAAGUCAGACGGGAAAUCCUGUAGCUUAACUACAGAACUGCAUUUGAAACUAUGAGU